CUUCAGUGAGGAUACGAUGACGAGUCUGCAAGGUGUUAUCCCAUUUCAGGUUCUUGAUUCAGGAUCAUGUUCUGUGAUUCUGUUUUCAUGUACCUGAGCAGGGUGUCCUUUUAGCUGAUGUUUAGAGGCAUUUGUCUGCGAAGG